CUGCCAGAUCUUGAGAGUCCAAGAAAUCUUUCUUUCGACUCCUCGGCUCACCAACCUCGCAUCAAUACUCUGCUAAGUGACGACCACGCUCUGGGCCCCGUGUUGGCUGACUGACACACUGCCUUUCAUUUAAUGUUUACACCAUCAUCACCACUUCACAAAUGAGGAAGCAGGAGCUUAGAGGGGGAACCUGAACUUUCGCUCCUGGGGAGGAUACAAAAAGUUGCCACAGGCCACCACCACAUCUGCUGCUAUAACGCAAUGACUGGAAGAAAACUGGAUAAAUUGUAAAAAUCAUAUAUUGAAAGACAAUGGAGAGCAGUGGAAGCGAUGAGAAGAGAAGGACAAGCUUUUCCUAGGUCAGCUGAUCCCUAUUUGUUUUCUUCCCUGGGGACAUUCCCCUAUUCUGAGCUUGGGUGCGGUCUUGACCUGAGCCAGCAGAGACUCCACCGAGGGAAAGAGGAGACACGGAGGUUGUGGCCAUCUCGAGGGGCUGGCACGACAGACCAGAGGGGAAACCAGAGGAGCCCUAAUUUCCACACAGGACAUUUGCUGAGCUCUGAGGAAGCUGAUAAGAAGGCUCACUAACCCGGGAUGGAACACUCACUAAAUCUGGAUUAGAGCUGCCUGCAUCACAGGCCAGUUUUGUUUUAAGUUUCUUUGGGGCCCAAGGGAUCAUUUCCACUUCUUACUUUCGGUAGCUGCAUUCCUCUGCACCAGUCGUGUGUAGGUUUUCUGUGGCGAGUAUUUUUUUUUUUUGCAGACAUUGCUGCCCCCUGCUGUCAGAGAGUGGCCUUGCAAGGGCUUGGAGCCUGCCCUUAGCAUCUUCUGUCCUGGUACUUGUUCCCUCAAGAAUCAGGGAGAGAGACCUGAUGAUCAAUUCCAAAGUCUGAGAUUUUCUCUCACUGCUCCUCCAUCCCUGAGUAUUAACUGCUUAGAUUGGUGGAUGCCCGUGGCUAUCAGGUCCUCAUCUGUAAAAUGGGGUCAAUGGGGUCAAUGGUGUCCAUGCUACAGUACAUUAAGCAAGGCAAUAUAUGAAGUUCUUAAAAUGGCCUGGCAUGCAGUUGGUGCUUGGUAAAUAGUAAGAGUAGUGGUGGCAAUCCUUGUUAAGGCUGCCCCAGACCCUCCUCAAAGCAGGCAGCCCUGGGGGUCUCUCUCAGUGGCGGGGAGAGCUGCUCUGACUCCUAAUGUUCUGGAGCGCUCAGACAUCCUCAGCUCUCCUCACCAUAGGACGCCAGGGACCAGAAGCUUGCUGUCUAAAACCGAGGAAGGGGAGAGGAAGAAGAAGGGCUGGGUUGGGGCUGGGCGGGUGCCAGGCAGUCCCCCUAAAUUCAGCUUCCUCUGUUAACUGGUUAGUGUUGGCAAUUCCGAAGCCUCAGGGCUGUGGGAACUGAGGUUGCUAAAACCAUCUCUGAAAAGCUGCCUUUCUGAAGGUUGCAUCCUGGACCCCUCUUAGCAGAUGAAACCUCUGACCUCCCUUGGACGGAGGCGCUCUGACUUAAUGGAUCUAAUGGUGGACAGUGGGUAGAUAUUCCAAAGUAGGUCUUGACUUGGUGAACUGCUUUUCUGCCUCGCUGUGUGGGUCCCAUGUGGGGGGUGCUGGGGAGUCGUGGGUGUGGGUGAUGGCAGCUGGCCUGCGGGCUUCCUGGUGCCAGAUUCCUCGGGAGAGGCCACCUUGCCCUGGGUCUCAGUUGCCCAGCUUUGCGGGGAGCUCAGACCUUUGGAGUUUGUGGCUUUAGCUCUGGAUUGCACUCCUUCCCUGUUUUCCAGUUUCCCCAGCUCUCAGGUUCCCAUGUUACCAGCACCCCUAGCAACAGCAGUCUCACAGAUGUUUCAUUCCUGGCAACAAAGAAGACUUCCCAUCACUCCUCCUUUGAAAGCACACACUAUCCCUUGGGCGCCCCUCUGCCUUCUCCCAGAUCUUGGCACCGCUCUCCAUGGGCCUGCCUACGGUCCUCUCUCUCCCAGUGUGCUUUGCCUCAGCUCUGGCUUGAGUGGAUGCAGCUGGCUGCAAAGCCCCUGGACUUCUUUCUCUGGGUCCCAAACUUCCCACCACACAGGGAUGCAGCUCGCAGCAGCCUGCAGUGAUGGAUCAGAGUCUGAGGCAUUCCAGAUGACCUGGGCAUUCCUGGGCAGCCCACAGACUCAGUAGCACCCUGCCAACUCUGAGCCACCCUUUAUUUACUGUCCCCUCAGUAUUAUGACUCUAUGACUUCUUGAUUUCUACCUUCUUGCGUAGACUCAGGUUUGGGCCUUGUGAUUUUGUUCUGUUCUAGGGUUUCAGAUAAAAAAAUACAAGAUGUCCAGUUAAAUUUAAAUUUCAGAUAGACAAGGAAUCUUUUUUUUAAGUUUGAGUGUGGCCCAUAUAUUGCAUGAACAUAUUUAUGCUAAAAAAAAGAUUCUUCGUUUAUCUGAAAUUGGAGUUAACUGGGUGCCCUUAUUUUCGUUCGCUAAAUCUGGCAACCGUGUUCUGGCUGCCGCAUCACGCGCCUCCCUGAGCUCAGGGACUUGCCGGGGGAGGCUCCUCCCCCGAAGCAGGGACGUCGCGCCACCCUUGGAUUAGGAGAUUGACCACUGACGACUUGACGACUUCUUCCGCAGACUGGGAGCUCCUUGAAGGCAGGACUUGCGCCGCCCUCCUCCCUCUCCGGCUCUUCGGAUGCUCUGGGUGAGCCCUGCCUUGUGUGCAGGGCCGAGGCUCUGCACUUUGUGGACAAUUUGGGCGCGGGGCUCCUUUUCCUGAAGAGUUACCAUCAGGGCUAAACCAGCACGUGUCCUGCCUGCUGGAGGGAUCACAUUUCCUGAAACAACAGUGGGCUGGUGUGAGGCGGGGAAACCCGGAGGGGAAAUUGCCAUAAGCACGGGUCUGUGACGUCUGCCGGGCUGGGGAUUUGCCCCGAGCGAAGUGGGCUUCCUCUGGGUGCCUCAUGUCAUUUUGCAGGACACAGAGUUUCAUUUUACAUUUUUCUGCCGCAUGCGGUGUAGGAUAAAGGUCAGGCCUGGACUCUGUUCUCUGCCUGCUGGCCUUUCAACUUCCUGGCUUGCGCUUCGUCUCAGAACAGGGGCCAACUCCUUUGUUAUGAGGAUGAGAGGAAAUAAUUUGACCAGGAUCUGGCUCUUUUGACUCUCAGUCCAGUGCUCAGCACCAGGCUGUCUUUCUGGGGUGCUGGGGAGGGGACGCAAAGGAGGACGACCUGAGGCAGGAGGUUUACCCACGCCCUGAGCACUGGCGGCAAUGACUGAUUGUUGCUUCUCUUUUCAGCGGAGGUGACAGAAAGUGUCAAAGCCAACUAUUCACUGGAGGCAAAGUCUGAACACUUCAAAUGAGAUUUAGUGACUCAUCCGUGGGCAGGCCAGGGCUCUGAGAAUCCCUGCAGGUUAUACACUGACAGUCCAGCUAAUCUUAGGAAGAGGGACAAGAAUUGGAAACCAAGGCGUGGAGAGCUUAAGUAAGCUGCCCAAGGUCACUCAGCUAGUGAAUGGUGGAGCUGGGAGUCUCACCCGGCAGGAGGCCAGCGAGGCUGGAGCUGGUGGGUGAGGACCAGAAUGGCAGGAGAUCGAGCCACGUGGAGGGUCUGGGUCACGUCCAGCCUUGCAGGCCAUGGAAAAGGCAUUGAAUUUUAUCCUAUGUGCCAUGAGAAAUCGUUGAAAAGAUUUGAGCAGGAUAGUGCAUGACUUAAUGUGUGCGUGAAAAAGCCUGUGAUGAACUUUGUUCUUUUAAAAAUAAAAUCAUUAUAAUUUAUGAUUGUGAAACCUACAUGUUCAUUUGGAAAACACAGAAAAGCAUAAAAUCGAAAACCAAAAUCACCUCUAAUCCCACCCUCCGAAGAAAACAGGCCUCAGCCACAAAGAACCAGCCAUCCUGGCCAACUCAGAAUGUGGAGACAUCGUCCUUCUGUGCUGUUCCAUGCACAUUUCUCCUCCUCAUCUUCCCUUCUGCCUUGACUGGAUCAUAAUUCUGACGUGAGAGGAUGAGUACGUUGUAUGCUUGGCCUAUCCCAACUGUUCAUAAUUACAAUACACCACCAAUUUUGUAUCAGGCAAAGCACUUUUUAUAUGCAUCCUUUAAAUUAAUCCUACCUACAGUCCUCUGAGGGGAGUCAUAUUAGCUCUUUUACUGAUGGAGAAAUGGAAGUUCAGAGAAGUAACAACAGCUAGAAAGUGGCAGAGCCAGUUGACCUUGAGUACGUCAGACCCCAAAUUGCAUGCGUUUAAUCCCUUCUUACAGCCUAUGUCCCCUUAAAACUCUCUAUCAUCAAUCCACUUUGUUGGUGGUAGUAGUUUACUCUCCACCUGACCCUAGGAUUGGGCUGGGCUGAGGUACAAGCACAGGUUGUUGGUGAGGCCAACCAGCCCUAAAGCCAGGGGUAUUUAAGAUGUGCAAACAGUGGGUAGGUGCUUGGAGGGCAGAUAGUCAAAUGCCAGGAACGCAGGCUGAAGAGCUACCAUGCAGAUCCAUUAGGGAGAGAAAGCUGGUUUGGGGGAAGCAGGACCACCUCCCGUGAUAAGAUCAGGGCUGAAAGUCUGAAUCCUCAUACCCGUCAGGGCCUCCACCACAGCUGGAUCAGGUUAGAGUAACUUCCCCAAAGCAGCUGGGAAAAUUCCCAGGAUGCCAGGCCGCCAGGCAGUGUUCUGUUCCUGGGGAGAGCCGACCCUGCCGCUUCUCCCUCCCUCCCAUUCAUGGAAAAGUACAGGCAGUGCUGGUGCCCCGCAAGCCUUCAGGCAAAUGCCUGGCUGCCCUCUGGACUCACAACUGCAAGCUCUGACUGGUUUGUCCUUGGUCCAGGGCUGGAGGAAAAUAGUUUCCAAAAAAAGCAGUUUAAAAAAAUGUGGAAAAUAUCCACAAGCCCAGUGUCUGCACAGAGUGGGAGUGGGAGGCCUUGUAGAUGGGCUUGCAGCCGAGGAUUCCACAGUCCUCUUUGCGAAGAGGCAGGGAAGGAAUGUGAAACCCUACCACCCGGAGGCGGAGAAAUGCACAGUAUGCCUUUCACUUUCUGCCCGCUCUGGGAAGGGGUCAGGGACGUGGGUCAUGCUGGGAAGUCACAGCUUCCUGAGAGGCUGCCUCAGACAGGAGUGGUUGGUUCACCAGGUGGGUGAGUCCAGACACCUGAUCUGUUAUCUUCCACAUCUGAGUGAAGUCAUGGAAGAUAAUGAAUAUGUGGAUAAAGAGAACAGAUUUGUGGUUACCAGAGGGAAAGGGGGUUGGAGGGUGGGCAAAAGGGGU